CCUCGCGCCGCCGGUGCCUCCGCUCGGGGCCCGAUUUAAAAAUCCAGGCAGCGAAGGAAAAUGGCGGCGCGGGGCUGAGGGUGGCGGGGACGGUGAUAGGGAGCCGGGGCUUUGGCUCCUUUCCCAGGCAUUCCUAUGGGCUUCUGUUGGAGAGAACACUGUGCUAGGAUGUGACUUAAAAUGACUUCUGAUUCUGAAGGUCCUCUGAAAAACCUGCUGUGCUUGAAUGUUUGCUAAGGACGAGUAAUUGCUGAUGCAUGGUCAAAAUGAGUGGAUUAGGAGAAAACUCCUUGGAUAGCUUGACCAACGAGUCGAGGAAGCGCAAACCAUUGCCCUGUGAUACACCAGGUGCAAGUCUGACCUGCAGUGGUGAGAAGCGUCGGCGUGAGCAGGAAAGCAAAUACAUUGAAGAACUGGCUGAGCUGAUCUCUGCUAAUCUGAGCGACAUCGACAAUUUCAAUGUCAAACCAGACAAAUGUGCUAUUUUAAAAGAAACCGUGAGGCAGAUUCGACAGAUAAAAGACCAAGGAAAAGCAGUUUCUAAUGAUGAUGAUGUUCAGAAAGCUGAUGUAUCUUCUACCGGUCAAGGAGUUAUUGACAAGGAUUCACUGGGGCCUCUUUUGUUACAGGCAUUGGAUGGCUUCCUGUUUGUUGUAAAUCGAGAUGGGAACAUAGUGUUUGUAUCAGAAAAUGUCACACAGUAUCUGCAGUACAAGCAAGAGGAUUUGGUUAAUACAAGUGUCUAUGGGAUCUUGCAUGAAGAGGACCGGAAAGACUUUCUUAAAAACUUACCUAAAUCUUCAGUCAAUGGAGUGGCUUGGAGCAGUGAAACCCCCAGGCAGAAGAGUCACACGUUCAACUGCCGGAUGAUGGUGAAAAGCUCCCAUGAGCUUUUGGAAGACGUGGGCAGCCACCAGGAUGGACGGCAGAGAUAUGAAACCAUGCAGUGCUUUGCUUUGUCACAGCCAAGAGCUAUGAUGGAAGAGGGGGAAGAUUUGCAAUCCUGCAUGAUUUGUGUGGCGCGUCGUAUCACAACUGCAGAAAGGGUGUUUCCAACAAAUCCAGAGAGCUUUAUUACAAGACAUGAUCUCUCAGGCAAACUUGUCAACAUUGAUACAAACUCCUUACGCUCUUCCAUGAGACCUGGCUUUGAAGAUAUAAUUCGUCGCUGUAUCCAGAGGUUUUUGUGCCACAACGACGGGCAGUCGUGGUCAAACAAACGCCACUAUCACGAAGCUUAUACACAGGGUCAUGCUGAAACCCCGUUGUAUCGGUUUUCUUUAGCUGAUGGGACCAUAGUGACAGCACAAACCAAGAGUAAACUGUUCCGAAAUCCUGUAACCAAUGACCGCCAUGGAUUUGUCUCUACCCACUUCCUCCAAAGAGAACAAAAUGGAUAUCGGCCAAAUCCCAAUUCUGUUGGGCAAAACAUCAGAACACCUGUGGCUGGAAACACAAAUUCUGUUGGUGGUCUUAUGAACAUGUCACCUGGUCAAGGCAUGCCAGUGCAGAACAGGAACUAUGGUAUGGGAGAUCCCAGUGCAGUGGGUCAGCUCAGCAGCACUCGAUAUGGAGGCCCUGGGAAUAUGGGGCCAGUGAGCUCUGGACCUGGAAUGCAAUCCUCUGCUUAUCAGAACAACAGCUAUGGGUUAAAUAUAAAUAGCCCACCACAUGGUAGUCCUGGUUUAACUUCCAACCAACAGAAUCUGAUGAUAUCUCCUAGGAAUCGAGGGAGUCCAAAAAUGAGCUCACACCAGUAUUCACCAGUUACAGGUAUGCACUCACCAAUGGGAUCUGCCAGCAACACAAGCAACAGCACUUUCUCUAGCAGCUCUCUCAGUGCUCUGCAAGCCAUUAGUGAGGGUGUUGGAAAUUCCCUUUUAUCAACACUUUCUUCACCGGGUCCAAAAUUGGAUAAUUCCCCAAACAUGAGCGUAACUCCGCCAAGUAAAACAAGUACCCAGGACUCCAAAAGCCCUUCUGCUUUGUAUUGUGAACAAAACCAAGUGGAAAGUUCUGUCUGCCAGUCAAACAGCAGGGAUCUCCUUAGUGAAAAAGAGAGUAAAGAGGGAAAUCUGGAGGCAUCUGAAAGUCAGAGAGGACCGUCUGAGAGCAAGGGGCAUAAAAAACUCCUUCAGCUGCUCACGUGCUCCUCAGACGAAAGAGGACAUUCUACAGCAUCAAACUCACCUCUAGACUCAAACUGUAAAGAGCCUUCUACCAGUGUUACCAGUCCUUCAGGAGUUUCCUCAUCAACAUCUGGAGGGGUGUCUUCCUCCUCAAACGUGCAUGGGUCGCUCCUGCAAGAGAAGCACAGGAUUUUACAUAAAUUGCUGCAGAAUGGCAACUCUCCAGCAGAGGUGGCCAAGAUCACAGCUGAAGCUACUGGCAAAGACACGUAUCAUGAUGCUGGUAACACAACCUCCUGUGGAGAAGGCCCCGUCAAACAGGAACAACUGAGCCCAAAGAAGAAGGAGAACAAUGCUUUACUGAGAUACCUGUUAGAUAAAGAUGAUGUUAAGGACCCGCUUUCCAAAGAGCUGAAGCCUAAAGUAGAAAGUGUGGAUAAUAAGAUGGGACAGUGCACUAGUUCUACAAUUCCUACUUCUAGUCAAGAAAAAGAGAUGAAAAUAAAAAUGGAGCCAGCAGAGGAGAUGAAUGGAGACUUGGAUAAUUUGGAUGCAAUUCUAGGUGAUCUGACUAGUUCAGAGUUUUACAAUAAUGCUAUGUCUGCCAAUGGAAAUAACCUUGGAACAAAGCAAGCAUUAUUUCAAGGAAAUGCCUUAUUGGGUGUGAAGAGUUCCCAGUCUGUGCAGGCUACUCGCCCUCCUUUUAACAGAGCCAUGUCUUUAGACAGCCCUGUGGGCUCAAGCUCUUCAGUGAGGAAUGUCAAUGCAUUCUCCAUGUUACAAAAGCAAAACUUGAUGGGUGGAAGUCCAAGAAUGAUUGAAAACCAAGAAAAUUUUGGAGCAAAUCUGGCAACUGCUCCCAACAGGAACGUGGCCAUGAAUCAGCAUCAGCCCGACUGGGGUUUGCCAAACUCCAAGGGGAGCAGGUUGGACCCCGCAGGCUCUGCCGGGCUGUUGAGGGCAGGCCCCGAGUUCGGCCCCGCGGCGCUGCCCCGGCCCGCGGGCGGCUCUGGGGCUCUGCCCCUGCGCUCCCACAGCCUGCCCGCCUCCAGGCCAGGCCUGCAGCAGCCCAUGAUCCACAUGAGGCCAAAUGAGAUAAACAUUGGCAUGGCAGGGAAUCCCUAUGGACAGCCUGGACCUUCUAACCAGCCUGGACUGUGGCCUGACAACGUGCUGUCCGUGGAGCAGGCGUCCCGGGGGUCACAGAACAGACAGCUAGUUAGAAACUCUUUGGAUGACCUCUUAUGUUCAGCUCCAAAUAUGGAAGGCCAGAAUGAUGAAAGGGCACUUUUGGAUCAGCUGCACACAUUGCUGAGCAAUACAGAUGUCACAGGGCUGGAAGAAAUCGACAGAGCAUUAGGAAUUCCUGAUCUUGUAAGCCAAAAGGGACAAGCUUUGGAACCCAAACAAGAUUCAUUUCAAGGUCAGGAAUCUUCCGUCAUGAUUGACCAGAAGCCUUCGUUAUAUGGCCAGCCCUAUCAAGGGCAAGGGGCAACAAUGCCAGGAGGUUUUAGUAACAUCCAGGGACAACAGCCAUCUUUUAAUUCAGUGAUGAAUCAGAUGGGCCAACCAAGCAACUUCCCACUGCAGAGUGUGCAUCCCAGGGCCAACGUGAUGAGGCCUCGGACCAACACCCCCAAGCAGCUCCGCAUGCAGCUCCAGCAGAGGCUCCAGGGCCAACAGUUUAUGAAUCAGACCCGUCAGACGCUUGAAAUGAAAAUGGAAAGUCCAGUCAGUGGAAAUACCUCAGCAAUGAGACCAGUUAUGCAGCCACAGGUGGGAUCACAGCAAGGUUUUCUUAAUGCUCAAAUGGUGGCUCAGCGUAACAGGGAACUAAUAAGUCACCAUUUUAGACAACAGAGGAUGGCAAUGAUGAUGCAGCAGCAACAGCAACCUCAGGCCUUCAGUCCACCACCAAAUGUGACUGCCACAGGAAGCAUGGAUAGUGCUUUGACAGGCCCUCCAAUGGCUCAAGUUCCUCCACAGCAAUUCCCCUAUCCACCUAAUUAUGGUUUAAGCCAACAACCUGAUCCUGCAUUUAGCAGAGUAUCAAGCCCUCCCAACCCAAUGAUAUCAUCAAGAAUUGGACCCUCCCAGAAUGCUGUGAUGCAGCAUCCUCAGCCAGCAGCAAUGUACCAGUCCUCAGAGAUGAAGGGCUGGCCAUCAGGAAGCAUGGCCAGGAACAGUUCUUUCCCCCAGCAGCAGUUCAGCCAUCAGGGCAAUCCAGCAGCCUACAGUAUGAUGCACAUGAAUGGCAGCAGUGGCCACAUGGGACAGAUGAGUAUUAAUGCCAUGCCUAUGUCAGGAAUGCCCAUGGGUCCAGACCAGAAGUACUGCUGACACCAGAACCACAUCUUCAAGCAAGAAAGGCUGUAUUACUGAUGCACUAGUGUUGGAAAGGAAGAUGACUCAGACUGGGCUUGCAGAAGUUACUUCAUUCAGAGGAAAAAAUAAGCCAAAAAAAAAAAACCUAUCCCAAAAAAAAAAAAAUUUAGUAGAAGAAGUCUCUGUAUUACUGUAUAUUGUGGAGUACAAAAAAAGUUUGUUAAUAUUUUUGGCACUCUUCCUCUAGAACUGUGAAUUUGGUAAUGGCAUUUUAGUAGAUUGGAUGGGUAGGCUCCUGGUGUACCUGAUCUGUUUACUGUAUCCAAAGCCCUUCAGCUACAGGCAGACAAAAGUGCCUGGAGAAGUCACAGUGGUAAGAAUUUUUGAUUUCUCUAGUAACAGUAUCUGACAGAGAAUGUAGUCUUAGCCUUGACUCUUUUAUAUUAACUCCUGAAUAUAAAUGCUGCUUUUAGUCUCUUACCCCCAAGAGUCAGGGAUUUCCCAAGCAAAGUAGCAGUGCAAAAUGAAUUGGCACAUUCUAGUCCAGAAUCCUGUCCACUGAAGCCAAGGGUUAAAAAGAGAGGAUAAACAGUUUAAAUUAUUUAAACACAGUUGUGACUAAUAUUUACAUAUUGCUGUGCAGCUGAGUGCACUUUAUAGAAGACUAUAUAAUGGAUUAAUGCAAUAUCUUUGAUAAGGACUUAAUAUGAAGGUAGGGGUGUACUCAUGUUCCUUCUCAAACACAAUCUCUUAAGAAUUAUUUGAAAAGACUGCAUAAUGUAAUGUGUUCUGUGUAUGGAAAUUAGAGCAAUAAUCUUUCAUCUUUUUUGGAAAAUAACUUCAGAAAAGGCAAGGCACUGCAGUCAGAAUCAGAAUUUUGCAGUCUUUUUUGUGAAUAAAUUUUGUAAAUAUGAUCUUUAAGAUAAUGUAUUAUAUAUAUGACUUUUGUAGGUCACUAACUCAUUUUUGCAGAGUUUGUGAAGCUAAAUAUUUAACAAAAUUGAUUUCUGUAAACUCAGUGUAGUUGAGGUCCAAAUAGAAUUUUUCUUUAAUUAGAUUUAAUGACUUUAAAGCUGGGUGACUUUGGCCCACGUAUUUCUCUUUUUUCGGUCUUCAACACUUCAUUUAUUUUUACAUCUUUAACAUACAGCUUUUUAUAAAAAAGACCGGUUGUAAAAUGCUUUCUCCACCUGUGAGCACUUUUGUUACAUGUCCUUUUUUUACAGAAGGCAGUUUGACACAAAGGCUCUGCAUUGUGAGAUGUCCCAGCCUGUCAGGACAGUCAUGUCUUUCUGUAAUAGGUCACCUUUUCAGCUGAUGAAUCUGGAUUGUGUCUUUCUUGGUCAAUUUUAAUGAGCUCUAAGUGUUAUCUUUGGAAAUGUUCGUCUGUUGCAAAAUGUUUGUUGUUACAUGACAUCCAGAAAUCUUCAAGGAUAUUAAGCCACACUUUACCCAAAUGUCUGCACCUCCAUUGGAUUGGUCUAAUAGGAAGGAAUGUAUUUUCUAAGCAGGUUUCUCUGAUAUCAGUAUUUAAGUCUGGUUACAUAUUAUUUGCUGAUAACUUGGGGGGUUUUUUCCCCUCCAUUUUGGGGCCUUGGAAUGAAGAUCCCUUUGCAGUUUUUAAAGUUACAACAAGUCAAACCUCUAAACUUCCCUAAGUGAUGACCCAGAAAUGUUUAAGAUGUGUGGUGCUCCUGUUCUGUUGUUCACUGUGUAAUGGAAGACUGAAUUCUCCCAAGUGAGUACAAAAAACCAACCCUGAUCUGUGUUCUUUAUUGCUUGUUCUUGGUACCUUAGCAAGAGGUGGUUUUAUUGUUCAGAAUAUUCAGUGAUCUUCCAUUUUAAUAGAAAUAACUCUAAAAAAUAGAAAUAGUCUCAAAACAUUCAUCCUUCGCAUCCAGUUGUAUUCCUAAGGGAAUGUAGAUCAGUCAAUCUCUGCCAUUAGCACUGAGUAAACAGAUCAGGUGACAGCAUUUAUUUGAAAUCCUCUGUCCAAUUCAUGUGUGUUUUAUAAUGCAAAACUUUUAAAAGCCUGAGGAACUUUUCUCUUUUUUUUUUUCCUUUUUUACAUUUCUUAGAACAUAUCUAUUUUAAGUGCUGCCUACUGAAGCUGAAAGGCAACAAUCCCAUGCUUUUUAUAUCAGAUCAGAGCAGAACAAUCUUUAUAUUUUGUAGUUGUUCAUUAUAUUGAUGGAAACUACAAACCCUGGUUGCUUUCAUUAGUGAGCUCUUAGGACUAUGGACUGCUUUAUACAUCCUGCCCUACAAUUUUUGUAAAGUGAUUCUGUUUGUACAUCUGUGUUUAACUGGUACCUGACUGAUGUUUUAAGGAUCAUCAUUUUCUCAUCUGUGUUUAGAUUGUACCUUUUUUUUUUUUUUUUUUUUGCUGAAUCCAAAGAUUUUUAGUUUAAACUUGAUUAAGGGGGAGGGGGGCAUUUUUAAAAAGCAUUGAUGAUGACAUCUUUCUUGGCAGCACUAAUCCUGCAUAGUACAUCUAGUUUGACAUCUGCUGACAUUUAGUUAUUGACAUCAAUUUUGCUUUGGUUCUGUGGCAGCAGAUUUUUCUGAAUGCUUUUAAAAAACAACCUGUAUAAUGUUAUUCAACAGUAGGAGAUCAAUUAGCUAGUACAGCCACCUCUGAUCACUGCUGCAUAAAUGUGUUGUUUUACUACGUGUCUCUUUUGAUCACAGAAACCAUGUGGUUAUUAAUAAAACUCAUAUGUAAUACUUUUUUUUUUUCUUGGCCUAAAAUACUGCUUUCAAAGUUAGAAAAUCCAGACCACGUUUCAGUCACAAGACAAAACUUAUUUGAAUGUUGCACCAAUUAGCACACCUUUUAUUUUAGAAUUUAUGUGCAGGCUACCAGAUGACAGAAUGAUACAGCAAGUAUGAAACCAUGUAAUUCUGAGAGCAAUAUUUAAAAAAAUUCUCAGGAGAAGGCAUACAGUAUUGAGAACUGCAUUUAAGUUUAGUUUACAUUGUAAGUAUUGCUUGAAAUAUCUGUAUCUUUAUUUUGCAAAACAGAAAAAUCACGGGGACUGAUUUAUAAAAGAGUUGGUUGUAAGGUAUUACCGCCCUUCUGGCUUUUGUGUUUGGAUGUUAAUAAUAAUGUAAAUAAAGGUUUCUAUUUAAAAUCAGAACUUGAUUAGCUGUCUAAUACUUUAAGGUUCAUGACUGUAUCCUGCAAAGGUCAGAGAAAAUUCGGUGCUGCCACUGAGGAAAACUGUGCAGAGAAUGAUUUCCAUCUUCUCCUAAUUGGCUGCAAAAGCUGAGGGAGCAACAACUGCGACCUUUCCCUGCUGGGACCCAUUUAGCACCGAGAUGUGUUGUCUUUGUCAACUCAAACUGCAGUUUGUACAAGAGCUGAAAGGUGAAGAGGUGGCAGCCUUCCCCAAUUUGGCAACAACUUACCUUUCACAAAACAGCAGCUGCUUCUUGUGUCCCAAAGAACCCCACAGCUCAGGGGGCUGUGUAAAGGAACACGGUAACUUUUUUCAACAGGAGCAGGAACACUGGGCCCUGCAGGAUUUUCACCAUCACACCCUCAGCUGGCCAAGGACUAAAGGCUGAACACACAAAAAAAGGUAAGUGCCAAUUUUUUUACAUCUAACCUCAGAUUCUUUCUGUAAAGUUUAGGAGAUGGCUAAAAUUUUUCUCUGGGAAGCAGCAAAAAUGUGUUUCGUUUUUCACUUAUUUGUAUUGAUUCAAGAUCUCAUCAUCUAGUAGAUAUUUCUAAUAAUCCAUGAAAGCUGUAACAAGUUGCAAAGAAACUCUAUGGCUAGAUUAAGACAGACAAUCAUAUUUUACUUCCAUAAUUUAAAAAAGCUUGCAAGAAAACUUUGGGAAGUAUAUUUGACUUAUCACAUGUAAUACAAAUACUCAAGCCCAGUCUUGCUGUAUAGCACAUUUACAAAGACUCCACUUCUGCUUUUGGAGCAGGUUUUUGUUUUAUGAGGGUUUUUUGUUUGGUUGGUUGGUUUUUCCUUAGUUCCUAAAUCCAAGUCUAAUUUUUGAGUAGGGGGGUGUGGUACCAGAGAUCUACAUGCCUGGAUAUGAUUCCACUUGAUUUUCCUUAUGUGCAAAAACCAGGAAGAAUAAUUUCCAUGCUGUAUUUUUUUCUUUUUUUUUUUUUUUUACACUACAUUUCUAAAAGAGCAAGUUAAGUUUCUGUUUUAGAAGAAAAAGUACCUCUUUGUUAGGAUUGAAGGCCACAGUUGGUCAAGUCCUGCCCCAUGAGCACCCUCGGGCACGUGCCUUUAAAACAGGUAGCAGAGUAACAUGGAUUAUAAAUACAAAUCCCACCACUAGUGCCUGUGCUACAAUGGCCUGUACUACAAUGUAUUUAAUAAUGUCCUUAUGAAAAUACUCAAAUAACUCUGUACACUGUGCUUCUUUAGUAAAAUGAUAGGGUUUUUUUUUUUUUCCCUUUAAAAGCCUUUAAACACUAACUGUCAUUCAGAACUUCAACUUUUUUUGUAGGCUAAACUAUUAACUAGGUUAUUCUUUAUUGACUACAAGUAUUGAACUUCUCAGAGCUGCCUUUUUUAAAAAAUAAAUGUAGAAGUUACACUGCUGAGCAAACGCCGCUUUCUCAAAGGAGUUGUUUUGGUUUUGAACACACAAUAGGCUAUUACCACAAAAAAAACCUUCAUACAAAUCUGAUUUUGUUAAAAUUUGAGAUGUACAUUUACUGAAACUUUUCAGUACUUCUAAAAAUGGAUGAAUUCUGACUGUCCUAAGCCACAGUAAGUAACAUUUUGAGAAACAGGGCAUGGGCAUUACACUCUUUUUAUUAACAAAAUUCUUUACAACCUGAAGGAAUUGCUUUGCAAACAGUAUAUUGAGCAAUAUUUUACAUAACCCCUCCAAAGAUCUGUUAGUGAAGAUUUUCUCUCAAUCUUCAUAGAGGUGGCAGUAGGAUGGACAAACAGACGUGGAACUAAAACGUAUCCUCAGAGGAGACGGGAGAAAUGUCGUGGUGUUGAGAACACUCAGUGCUGCUCAAAGUUCUGCUCAACCACUGCCUUCACCCCAGUGAGAAGCAAAAGCAUCCAUGAUUCUAAAUCUUGCUUUAGAGUUAGACUUGGCUUUGAAGUGUUUCUGGUGACAACUGAAGAGAAAGUUGAACUGCAAAUUGUUUGGAGUUUCCCUCAGCUGUCUGUAAACGCUGGAAUGGCUCCCUUGGGGAUGGGGCUGUGCUUCCUCUUCUCUCAAUUCCUGCCUCAGCGUUACUUGUGUCUUCUGGAAGUAAAAUGCCUCGUGAAGCAGGUGAGGUAUAAUCCAAAGCAAAAAGCAGGUACAAUAGUGGAGUUCAGAGACCUGUAUUUCUGACAGCAUUUCCCACAGUUUCACUGCAUCUAUUCAACUCACUCACCAGUGCAAACGUUCUACCUAUUUCAGCCUCAGAGUUUAUCCAGUCCUUCAGGCUAAUGUUACAAUUCAUUUAGUCUGUACAUGGAUUCAAGUUCUGGCCAGUUUGUAUCCUCAUGGAGGUGCAGCAGUUGGGGAGAUUAGCCCUCCCAGCCUUCCCACAGUUGUCCUCUUUAAAAUAAAACAAACACAGUUUUAGUGUACAACAUUCCAGUAGAAAGCAGUUAAAUCUUUUUAAUGAUUCCAUGCAGUAAAAACCAAUGGAAACGCUGUGCACCACCUAUAAAACCACAGCAGGUGUAUGACAGAAACAAUCCAACUCUGUUUGAAACUUCAACCUGUACAAAGCUUGCUAAUUCAAGCUUCAUUCUGGUUCUAAAGCCAGUCUUAGAUCUCUUCAACUAGAAAUAAAAAUACUCUAUUACAUGAGCAAAUCCUCUUGGGCAAGUGAGAAGGCCACACUCUGUCUAGGAAGGGACUUGUGCAUAUUUUUUCCACUGCACAGUUUGAGAGCACUUUAUGAUUUUUAAUGAACUGAAAUCUCUGCCUUCUUUUUAAGGGGAGAUUCAGAGACAGUAACUUUUUAAGAACUUAAAUUUGUAUCUCGCCUUUGAGCUCUGGCAGGUUGAGAACUGAAUAUCAUUGUCAAGUUUUAAAGGGCAGCUCAGUAAGAAAAAAAAGUACUCUUAGAUACAAAUCUGUCUUGUAGUCUACUUUCUGUUUUAACUUCCUUUUUUUUGCUCACAACAGAAGGCUGUGGUCAGAUAAAGAGCAAGAAAGCACAAGGUACUGUCUCUCUGCUCGUGAGAAAUUACAGUCGGUUUUGUUCUUUCUGGAUUGGGUGAAAAACCACAAGGUAGCUGCUACUAAUUUAAAUUUAGGCAGAACCAACAUACUGGUCUUUAAAUUUAACUGGCAGUUGACCAUAACUGGUUUCUUCAGCUGAGCAUCCACCUUUACUCAUUUGAAAUUGCCUUGACCUUAACGCUCCUGGAGUGCCAGAAAACAGGGACCAAGAGGUUUUGAGCAGCAGUUGUCAGUAAUGAUGUGCAAGUAUCAUAUUUCUUGCAUAAUUUAGAGGACUUCCCACUUAAGCAUUCCAUGAGAAUGGAUGAUGAUGUUAUAAAAGGUGCUGCAUGCAAAAAGAGAAGGAAAAAGCUAAAGCAAAAGCUUUUGGUGAACUGCUCCCAACUCACAGUGACUUGGCAGAUGAUGGUCUCUUCACAUCUGGCCAUUUUCGACGCUGAAACUGCCUAAUUUUCAAGCAGCAAAAGGAGAAAAAGGUUAACCAUCACCAAGAAAACCAGCAGCACUACAGUCUGAAAGAUGAGGAAGGAGAAGAGUUCAGCCUGAAUUUUGACUACCAAAGUUAGAACAUGAAACAAGUUUCAAAGCAACUGGGGUGGAAGGGCCUUUCAAAUGCCCUUCCAGGCCAUGCCUGUCCAUGUGGUUCCCAAUCCCACACUUGUUUUUUCAGCAUGAAAGUAGCAUUUAACAAUAAAAAAGUAACUUUUUUUUUUUAAAUGUACCUGUACUGCUCGUAGCUUCCAUCUUUAAGUCCUAGGUAAAGAAAAAUUAACAAUGUUACCUGGGAUUGCCUGUCUCAGGUAAGACAGUUUUAAAAAAGACUUAAUAACUUAACAGAUCACCCACUGCCCUGAGUAACCUGGCAUGCCCUCACAUCUGACCCUGCACUUGAGCAUAAGUUUGGAGCAGAACUCCACAAGUCUCUUCCAACCUGAACUGGCCUAUGAGCUUGAAAUAGUGGCUAUCAGGGUAUUCUUUCCCUCUUUCACCAGUAUCUUUCUUUCCUCAUCAUCCUCUGCAUCUCUGUAACACUCAUCACUAGGCUGUUUAAAUAUCAUUCUUAAUUUUAAAAACAUCACAUAACACAAACUGAACACCUACAAAAAUCUAAGCAUGCAGUUACCAGCCUCAGCAGGACAUUACCAGUAUUGAGAAAUACUAAAAUCCUUUUGACUGAUUCAAGUUUCAUAAUGGUAAGAGCGAGCCCCAUUUCCUUUUUGGGGGGGGGGGUUGUGAGUGCAACAGGAGAGGCACUUACCUAGAUCCAUGUUCCUAGUUCUUGGAUUGCAUUGCUUAUACCCUUUGCAGCUCCUGAGUUCCAUGAGCUGGACGUGCAGUUGAUUGAGAACAUCUCUGUCGAGUGUAUUCACUGCAUUAAUUAGCUGCAAUAAACAGGGGGUUCUUGUUAGUAAAUAUUGCUCUGUAGUUUGAUAGCUUUCAUAUAUGGAAUACAGGUGCUUUAUCUGUAACAGGAAAGAGCCAAAUUAUACUGGUUUAAGUGAUAGAGGCCUUAAAUUACAUCCUGCAGCAAUACUGGGCAAUUUCAGUUGAUUGUCAAUAACAAAAAAUGCUGUUAUUUCUUGAGGUCUAUGACCAGAUACCUGAUAUGGAUCGGUAUUGAGAUCAAAAUACUCCAGAAAUCCAGUAGCAAAUUCACAGAACAGGAAGUUGUGGGUCUCGUUGAUUGUCCUCAAACACCAGUACGUGUUGUUGUUGGCACUGGUACAGGCACAGAAAGGGCCCACUGCAAAUGGAAGAGUUAUAAAGGCAUCAGCUACAGUCUUUAGCACUGCUAAUUAUUUCUGUUUACAAGCAUUACUUGAUUCACAGAGGGUAACUCUCACUCCUGAGCUCUAAAGCAGAGAAUGCCUUCCAGCAUCAUCUCUUGCUCUGUGCACACCUAACCCACACCACACGGCUCAUUAAAGCAACAUCUUCUCCAGUUGGGAAACAUUCCAGAUGGUGAGGUACCACACCCAUCACUGUACACUGUGCACUGUCUGCUGGUUACUUGCAGUUGUUUUUACCUCCCUUGCCUUUUGUGCAGCACUGGAACAGAUUCUUUCCUUUGGGGCAGCCUUGGCUACACAGGCACUGAAACCCCAAACUCGGAACCCAACAGCCCGGCCCGGGCCAGGCAGAACCCACCUCCCUGCUCCCGAGUUUGCAGUAUCCUUACGUGUCCAGAGGGGAGCAGUUUGCCAGUGCUGGUUGUCGUGGGUGAAGCAGGUGAGCCCGGGCAUGCUGCACGUGUCGUUGUUUUUGAUUCUCUUCAGCAGCUUGCGCAGCUUCUUCUUCCUCCUCUGCUCCCGCAGCAGCCACAGCCUGUCCUUCUCCUGGAGGGCCUUCCUGCACACACGAAACAUCAGGGUCAUGCAAACUCUGUUACACUUGAAUGCACCCAAAAAACCCCCAAUAGCUCGUAAAAUAAGCUGCUCUGAGGGAAAGAAUCAACAUCUUUUUAAUUAAAUGGCUUCUCCUCCAGAUGGAGAUGACUCUGCAAUUCAACAGCACUGGAAAAUGAAAAUGCAGCCAAAGGGGCUUACAGGGCUUGCCUGAGGAUAAAUGAAGCACUAGUACUUCUGCUUAGUUUGUGUGGACCAAAUGUUAUAAUGACUUGGCACAUCCUCUUUCAAAGGAACAGCCCGUCACUUACUUGAAAGGAUGAAGACUGGAUCCCUUGUGCCUCAGCUUGGUUUUGUGUUUUGAAUGAUAACUGGAAAAUAAAACCAGCAUUGUUGGUGAA